CGGCCGGAAACGGACAGAUCCGGUACCGAUCACCAUCUUCAGCGGAACUCCUUGAGGGGCAGUCAACUUCUCCGCCACAUACAGAUCAGGAGUUUGAGAAAAUGUUGAAGCGUUCGAGUAGGCAACACGAAUCCCUCUCUGACAAGAUCUACAGAUUUCGAGGCGUAAUCCUAGUGAUCUCGAUCCCACUGCUACUUAUCUCCUUUGUUCUCUUCCUCAUGCCCACCACCACGACUUCUCGCUCCGGUGCCUUCCAGCAAUACCCCUUAGUCCACCGCAAGGCUUCUCCUCACUCCCAAUCUAGGACCUACGCCGUCAUCUUCGAUGCGGGCAGUUCUGGCAGCCGUGUCCACGUUUUCUGCUUCGACAGCGAUUUGAAUCUUGUCCACAUUGGAAAAGAUCUCGAGCUCUUCUUGCAG
rnacentral:lncRNA from 1 species